AUAAUUAAGAGUUUGAUUUUGGCUUAGGGUUAACGUUAGCAGUGCAUCUUAAGUAUACAAGUCAAACGUAUGUAGUAAUAUAUUAUGGCGAAGGGUAGGUAAUGUGUGAAUGGUCUACUUUAUGAGUGGUAACAUUAAAACCGAGAUGUGGUUUAGGGUUUUUAUAGUAGACUAUGGUUGAAAAUCUUUUAUAAUGGUCAAGAGACUUAUAGGGUAAUACUAUAAGGAUGAGAAAUUCUAAAGGUUGUAAAAUCCUUUUAUAAAUAAGGAAUAAGCUUUUUAGGAAAUGACAAGGUGGUGACGUUAAUUUAUGAAUAAGCCCUGGCUAAUUACGUGCUAGCAGCUGUGGUAAUGCUCAGGGGGCGAGCGUUGUUUGGGAUUAUUUGGUGUAACGGGUGAGUAGGCGGAUAUAUAAGUCUAUGCAUAAAAUGCCACAGUUGAACUGUGGAACUAUGUUGGAAACUAUAUGUCUAGAGUUUUAUAGAGGAAGUUAAAAUUCCUGGUGUAAGGGUGGGAUUCGUUGAUAUCAGAAAGAAUAUCGGAGGUGAGUGCUAACUUCUUGGUUAAUACUGAUGCUAAGUCACGAAAGUGUAGGGAGCAAGCAUGAUUAGGUACCCUAGUAGUCUCCGCUGUAAACGAUGCAUACUUGGUGUUAACUAAAAGUUAAUACUGAAGCUAACGUGUUAAGUGUGUCGUCUGGGAGGUAUGCUUGUAAGAGUGAAACUCAAAGGAAUUGACGGAGGCCUUAGUAUAAGCGGUGGAGCAUGUGGUUUAAUUCGAUGAUACGCGAGGAACCUUGUCAGAAGCUGAUAUAUCUAGGAUAUAGUUAGAGAUAAUUAUUUUUUGUUUGGAUCUGUAUACAGGUAUUGUAUGAAUGUCUUUAAUUUGUUUUGUAUUAAAUCUUUCAACCGUUGCAAUCCUUUUUAUAUACUGCCCAUAUGUAAUAAUGGGAACUCAGGUAAGAUUACUGGUGGCAAAUUGGAUGAGUGUAGGGAUAGUAUCAAAUUAUCGGGGCUCUUAUGUUUUGGGUUACAUGCAUGCUACAACGGCCUGUACAAAAUCGAAUCGAAAUAGUGGAUAUAAGUAAAACUCACAAAUCGGGUCUCAGUCCGGAUUGAAAUUUGAAGCUUGACUUCAUGAAUUUUAAAUUAUCAACAAGUAUAUAUUAAAAUGAUAUAGCGAAUACGUUUUAGAGUUUUGUAUACACCACAUGUCGCAUAAUUUCAGUUGAAUGGAUACUUAAAUCUAUUGUUUUAACCAGUAAGAAAUAAAGGUGCUUAAGGUAUGUUAGUGAGAGUAGUGAAGUUGUAAUAAACUAGCCGACUGGAAAGUAUAUUUGAAUUAUAUUCUUU
rnacentral:rRNA from 1 species